GUGACGAUAAAUAAAAAAAGAAGGAAGUUUUGGGUUUAUUCCAAAAUGCAGGUUCGAGUCCUGCUCGUAACU